AGUUAUUCUUCGGCACUAAUAAGCGGAGUAAUUUUUUUUACAUCUCAUAAUAUAAGCCGUCGCAGUACUACGAACGCAUGUUUAAAAUUGAAAGAACUUGGCGGCCGUUCAACCUACCAGGGGAACAUGUGCCUUAAAACGAUGGUCCACGCUUUAUCUUACCCUGUCUUGUAAACAAAGAGGCAAGGAAUAAAGCUUGCUUCUAUUUCUCACCUAUAAGUGAGAGGGGUCAGCCGCUAUACCGCCGUUGUCACUUCCCAGUCUGAGCGGUAUUCAAAGGGGGGGAUUUUUGGUACUGUUUUAGGCUGUGUUGGGGUGGGGGCAAGAAAAUCUUUUUUGUUUUACAUUUCCCGAAGUAUAAAGUUUGUACCAUGAAGACAGGUUAAGGUAGCGCCUAUGACAGGGGGAGUAUGUGUUACAAGCUUUAUUUUAGAGAGAGUAAAAAAACUUUCAAACGGAUUCUUUGAGGAAGAUUAAUCUUAGAUGAAGGUGAACUUGGCAGUAAGGAGGGAGUAAGGAGUCCACCUGAAGAGUGCUCUGAUCGUGUGUUCAAAUCGCCCGUCGCUCCCUUCCGAAAGCGGGGAU
rnacentral:rRNA from 1 species